UACGUAGGGUGCAAGCGUUGUCCGGAAUUAUUGGGCGUAAAGAGCUCGUAGGCGGUCUGUUGCGUCGGCUGUGAAAACCCGGGGCUCAACUCCGGGCCUGCAGCCGAUACGGGCAGACUAGAGUUCGGCAGGGGAGACUGGAAUUCCUGGUGUAGCGGUGAAAUGCGCAGAUAUCAGGAGGAACACCGGUGGCGAAGGCGGGUCUCUGGGCCGAUACUGACGCUGAGGCGCGAAAGCCAGGGGAGCAAACGGG
rnacentral:rRNA from 1 species